rnacentral:rRNA from 1 species
UACGGAGGGGGCUAGCGUUGUUCGGAAUUACUGGGCGUAAAGCGCGCGUAGGCGGCUUUGUAAGUUAGAGGUGAAAGCCCGGAGCUUAACUCCGGAACUGCCUUUAAGACUGCAUCGCUAGAAUCGUGGAGAGGUGAGUGGAAUUCCGAGUGUAGCGGUGAAAUGCGUAGAUAUUGGGAGGAACACCAGUGGCGAAGGCGGCUCACUGGACCGGAACUGACGCUGAUGCGCGAAAGCGUGGGGAGCAAACAGG